AGCGAACGCUAGCGGCAGGCUUAACACAUGCAAGUCGAGCGGGCGUAGCAAUACGUCAGCGGCAGACGGGUGAGUAACGCGUGGGAACGUACCUUUUGGUUCGGAACAACACAGGGAAACUUGUGCUAAUACCGGAUAAGCACUUACGGGGAAAGAUUUAUCGCCGAAAGAUCGGCCCGCGUCUGAUUAGCUAGGUGGUAGGGUAAUGGCCUACCAAGGCGACGGUCAGUAGCUGGUCUGAGAGGAUGAUCAGCCACAUUGGGACUGAGACACGGCCCAAACUCCUACGGGAGGCAGCAGUGGGGAAUAUUGGACAAUGGGGGCAACCCUGAUCCAGCCAUGCCGCGUGAGUGAUGAAGGCCCUAGGGUUGUAAAGCUCUUUUGUGCGGGAAGAUAAUGACGGUACCGCAAGAAUAAGCCCCGGCUAACUUCGUGCCAGCCGCCGCCGUAA
rnacentral:rRNA from 1 species